rnacentral:rRNA from 1 species
UACAGGGGGUGCAAACGUUGCUCGGAAUUAUUGGGCGUAAAGCGCGCGUAGGCGGCUAUUUAAGUCGGAUGUGAAAGCCCCUGGCUCAACUGGGGAAGUGCACCCGAAACUGAAUGGCUUGAGUGCAAAAGAGGGCCGCGGAAUUCCCGGUGUAGAGGUGAAAUUCGUAGAUAUCGGGAGGAACACCGGUGGCGAAGGCGGCGGCCUGGGUUGACACUGACGCUGAAGUGCGAAAGCUAGGGGAGCGAACGGG